rnacentral:misc_RNA from 1 species
GGGGUUUGUUUUGGCUUUUGGUUGCUUGCGUGGUCUUUGUGCCGUGCAGGUGGUCUUUAGCCGGAUGUUCUUCGGGGAUGUUUACCGUAAAGGUGCAUGAGUGGUGUUUGGUUUGUUACGGGUGGUUGGAUGUCUGUUUGUGCAGCAACUUCCACGCGUUCAUACCUCUUCAGUUGUGCUACAAGGCUUCAUAUGUCUUGUGCACUUGUGGGUUUCUGUGUUGCAUACCUAAUGAAGGGAAUAGUGUGGUUAGUUCAAAGUUCGUUUCGUGAUACGUCGCUUGCGUCGUUGAACGAACCUCGAAGCGGUCUCUAUGGCCCAUGCUGUUGUUGCCCUUGCAAUGAUGGCAUGGCCCUUGGAGUGUCGUUUGGUCUCCUGGAUAUGGAACAUGAUGUGGGUUGUAGGGUCUUUAACCAUCCUAUUUUUACCCCAGUUUAGCGGUUUGCUUCUCUAAACGAUCGCUUGCCAUGUGUCGGCAUGUCCGUACAUGGUGGGCUGUGUCGAAGAGGAAUGC